GACGAACGCUGGCGGCGUGCCUAAAACAUGCAAGUCGAACGAGGGAGCAAUCUCUAGUGGCGAACGGCGGAGUAAGACGUGAGCAACGUGCCCCAAAGUCCGGGACAAACGCAGAAAUGCCAUAAAUACCGGAUGUGGUCCAACCUCGGCAUCGAGGAUGGAUUAAACGGAUUUUCGCUUUGGGAGCGGCUCACGGCCUAUCAGGUAGUUGGUGGGGUAACGGCCUACCAAGCCGACGACAGGUAACGGGUCUGAGAGGAUGAUCCGUCCGAGUGGGACUGAGACACGGCCCACACACCUACGGGUGGCAGCAGUUGGGAAUCUUGCACAAUGGGGAAACCCUGAUGCAGCGACGCCGCGUGGAGGAUGAA
rnacentral:rRNA from 1 species